GCUGAGAAACACAAGGGCCAUGCUUUUAAAGUACAGACGGUCACAAACAAGCACAUGUGUCACUGUCAAAGCCUAGUACACGCUUCUGUUCCCGCUUCCGCAAUGAGCGGCUGGAUGUUCACGAAGGGAAAGGAUGUGAAAAAAACCCUGCUGGUCUCAGAAUUUUACUGAUAGAAGGAAUUUGUUCAAUGCAGGCCGUUUAUCUGCAAUUGAUCGAUGAUCUAAGCUGAUAAAUGUCUCUAUAUCUCUGUUUGCCUCAGGAACAGUGUCCAGUGAGUUCAUUUGUUUAUGUUUAAAACAGGGUGUGGCCCCAAGGACAGACAAGCUCCAUGGCUUUGCAAAGAUUCAUGCUUCGUGUCUUCCUGCUGCACUUCAAUUCUGACGCAAAUGUCAUUUAAAUGGCAGCGCUUUUCCAUACUUCAAACUUCCUCUUUGCCGGAGGGUGUGUGUGAGAGGUUUAUCGUGCCAAGACUUUGUCCCUGUGUCUAUUUAUAUCUGCUGCUGUUGAAUGAGUCAGCAGACCGCAAAGUCCAUCGGAGCCGGGCAGUAAAAUCUCCUCAGAACAACACACAGAAGUGCUGCUGAUAACGGGCGCGAGGUUGAAGGUGCACAGAUGUAACCAUAAAGAACUCCGCCACACUGGUCAAGUCAUACAUUGAUGGAUGGGAUUACAGAUCAACAUGCAACUGGCUGAGAUACUUACAGCGAGGAAGAGCAUGCAGUACAUGGAAAAAGACGAGUGGCCGGAGUAGAACGAGAGCCUGCAACAGAGAGACAAAAGCACAGCUCAACACCCGAGUAAGGACAUGUUUUUAUUAACACAGCGGUCUGAGCUGACUGGAGAGUCCCCGGCUUUAGUUAGCUCUCGUUUGAAACACCACAUCAGCAGUCAUGUGCACACACUGUGGAUACUGUGGCACAAUUUUCCCAGUCAGGAGGCUUUUACUGAUCAGAUUUAGGGCCUGGACUGCAGCGCAGAACAACCUGCUGCUUGUUGAAAAUCAGUGGAUUAUGUGGAGGAAUUUGAAAAAAUCCGCCACUGCGUUAAGGAUCUCUAUAAACCAAUACUUGCAAUACUCUGCUUUAAAUUCAACAUCUUAUUUCCCCUAACCCUAGAGAGCCAGGUUAGCAUGAGCCCCAGGAGCUGGAAUAAACGAGAAAUAUACUAGGUUGUAAUAAAAACCCAGAAUUAUCCUUUGACCUAAAAGCACACUUUAGGCCCAGAGCUGCUAACAUGACACUUAUUUUCUUUAAAAGCUCUACAGGAAAUCCCCACAAAAUGGCAAAGCUGAAAAUCUUCAUCAUCAUUAACAAUUAAGCUAAUCUAUAAAUCAACUCCCCAGCAGCGACUGUUAGUUACACCCAGCAGAGUAAACGAUAACAAUGCCGACCUCCAUAAAUCCCCAACAGUGGCAUCAGAUUAGGACUGUGGCACCCUGUGUGGGAUCACAGGAUGAAAAAUUCAUGAUUGCCACCUUACAAAUCAAUAUUUGUGAUUUCACGUCCAUGGAAACGAACUCAAUCGUUGACAGUGAGCUGUGUUUUUGCUGGGCAGUAAACCUUAGACACAGAGGUGUCAUAUUACUGUAAGAUGAUGCUGGGCAGUCUAUCUCAGCCUCCUCUCUCCUCUCCUGUUGCAGUUAUUAGAUGCAUUAGAGUCCAGCAGAUGCCAACAAAGACAGGGAGCAGCUUUUUAUUUAAAAAAAAAAAGCAGACUGCUGAGUAAUAAUGGUGCUCCAGGAAGCAAUGAUUGUGCACCACGCCCUGAUACACGUACAGCAGAUACCCCAGAGCGGUAAAGGGUAGGUGGGCCCUUUACGCUCAAGGGCCGCAGCUCGAGCAAAACGUUUCCCCGUCUCGCUUUAAACAGAUAAAGAAGGGGAGAAGCAAAUGUAACGUAAACCUCCUCACAGCCCAUAAUAAACACGCAUCACUCCUCUGUGGCCGGGGCCUCCGUCAGACUGAGAAGAGGAAAUCCUCUCCUCCCAAUACUCUUCCUCCUGCUCUGAGCCGAUAAGAGACAGAGACCUUAAAUCAAAAUACGCUUUACAUUCCUGUGAUAUUACUCAAAGCGGCUCGCGCUGCAGCUGCGCACAUUACAGAAGUCACCCAUUUAGCACAUCUAAACACUUCUCAGCUGUGUUUUUUAAAAACGAUCUUUAUCUAUGCCAGAAGAUCAUUAAUGAUGACUGUACUAUGAAGGAGUGCAACAUAAACAAGGUUUGCUUCCCUUCCCUAACGACCAAAAUCAAAUCAAGCGGUCAUGUGGUUCUCAACUGAAUUAACUGACCCGGCUUUUCUGGGUCUCGGUAUGAGCGGUGGCGCUAACGCCGCCGGUGGCGGUAAACAAUGGACAAUGGAUGGGAGUAAAGCUGGAUAUUUCUUACAAGAACAUUAUAAAGAACAAAUAAGACUUCAGAAGUAUAAUCCUGCUGCAGCCUCAGCCAGGAAGGACAAAUACAUUUAGGCUGUGUGAAUCUAAAAAUGAAUUACUGUGUGCUUAUAGAUCAUUAGUUAUUAUUAAUCUCUGGCUUUCUUCCACAGUGUGUCUUUAUGUCCUGUCUGCCUCCCAUCAACCCCAACAGAUCGCAGCAGUUGUGUACUUACAAAUACAGCUCAUGGUUGCGGCUGCUGAACCACUAUCUCCUGCAGGAUAUGGUGCUGAGUAAGUGCUGAGAAUCUAGCUUAUUUAUAAUAUCAAAAGGGGCCAUCUCAACUCAGUCUUACACGUAUAACUGGAACCUACAUAUUUCUCACAUUGGAGUGACGUUGCUAGGUUUGAUGUGCUUGUUCUCAUUUACGCUUCAGUAAUAGAUGCAAGUGAUGCUGAGCACAAGCUGAAAGUCAGAAGCACAACUCUAAAACGGCUAUUCAGAGGUUGUUCAGUGACAUGCUUCACCUCUGCCCUUUGUGCUUACGCUGUGAACAUGUUACAAAACAAUGGCCUGAGGAUUUUUCCAAUAAUCAGCUCAACAACAAGAAAACCCCAAAACAAACAAAGCUGGUGUGCAUAAAGUUGGAAAAGAGGUGUUCGUUUCAACAUCUGAAAUCAAAAAAAGAAACAAAUUCAUUCUUAUUUGAACUCGGGCUGCAACCGCUAAUUUCAAAUCUAAACAUCAGAAUAAAAAGAUGAAUCAGAGUCCAUGGUGAUCUGUUUAAAUGGUUUGCUUUUUUCCAAUAAAAGGCCAGCUAGACAUUAUACAACAUAAAGCACUGAAUCAUCACACUCGAGAAGCUAGCCUAGACAUCAUUUUUGCUCUGUGCUUGGAGCUCUGCUUUCCUGGUGCUGGGUCAUACAUACCGGGCCUCGUUGACCUGCUUCGCGUCUCCAGUGCAGGUAAAGUCUUCGAUGUAAGUCCCUGCCGAGCAGUUGAUCAGUUUCCAGUCGGGUCUGCACAAAUCCAGGAAGUGCGGCCUAAGCCGGCCGAUUGAAUACUUGGCGAUGUCCGUCAGAGACUGGCUCAUGGCGGCACCGAAAACGAAGGUGCCGAUGGCUUUGUAAAGGCAGGCAACGUAGCUGCCGAAAGACGACUUGGACUUGAUGCGGUUUAGAUGAACUAAAAGACACUCGCCAACAAUCAUCUGCAACGAGGGGCGGGAGGACACAGAGUUACACCUUUAUACAGAAUGACAGGGUGACACAUUUAAAAAGAAGAUGCAGAUAAAUGAACGUCGGAGGCAAAAUCCCAGGAUCAUUGUUUUGAUUUUGUUUUUGAAGACUCGUCUAUGAUGAUUUGCUUCUUAAACAAGAAUUAGAUCAGAAGAUUGACUCUUCUGUCAAAUCAGGACCUGAAUAUAAACCCACAAAUUAGCAAAGACUGGACAUGUGGUUAUGAAUAAUUCAAUUAAAUCUCAUUUAUAUAGCACCAAAUCACAAACACAGCCACCUCAAGCUGCUUUAUCCUGUAAGGUAAAGACUCUACAAUAAUGCAGAGAAAACCCCAACAACCAGACAAACCCCUUUGAACAAGCACUUGGUGACAGUGGGAAGGAAAAACUCCCUUUUAACAGGAAGAAACCUCCAACAGAACCAGACACAGAGCGGAGCCAACUUUGAAUCUGUGCUAUUUCUUCAUUUCCAGUUUUUAUGCUAAGAUUAUGACAUUAAAUAAUGAAAGAAAUGUCUGACAAAUUAGGUUUUUUUGAUCUUCGGAUCUAAUCCUUUACAACGAAGAAAAUCCUUCUCAUAAUGCUGCUUUCGAAAUACAUAAAUGCUCAUUUGACGGUAAUCAGAAGGGCUCUGCAACAGCUGCUGAGGUCACAGGAGGAUGUCCACUUAACACAGUAAGCCUCUCUUUCAGUUCAUCUGAAACUUUAAAUGAAACCUGAGGCUUAUGAGCACGUUAUCAUGUUUCUGCAACGAUAUGAACAGGCAACAGGCCUCGAAGGCUUAAACAAACACACUGCUUCUUCAUUAUUACUUUACAGCAGAAGAGCUGCUUUAUCUCGACUUACAGUUAAAAAUAGUGUAGGUUUAACAACUCUAAAUAGCCAUGUCAUUACUUAAAACGAUAAAACCUGACCUCCGUCAUCACUAGAAGGUUUGCGUAGACCUUCACAUCUGUAGGUUACACAUCUGCUCUAUUUUAAAGCCCGAGGCGGCAGAUUAGGUCAGGUUAAAAAAAACAAACCCCUACCUCUUUUCUGUUUCCUCAUUAAAUGUAGAACAUUCAAAAAAUGAUUUGAACAAAUCAAACUGCUGGCACAUUAGUAGAGUGGGGUUAAAAGGUUUUUUAAAAAGCAAAACAAAUCAUGCAUUGAGGAUUAGAACCAUGCAGUUCCAUUAAGCAGGGUCACGAGUAUAAGAAGAAAAAAGAAGUGGAUGAAAGCAGUCAGCAAAACACCAAACUGAAGAAGAGUAAAAAAAAAAAAAAAGAUGUACAGAAG